GUUAAAUUUGGAAACCAAAAAAAAGCAUCGCAGCGGUAAUCUCCUUUGAUAAAUACUUUCAUCUCUUUCUUUUCUCAUUUCGACGUCAAUUUCUCUCUCACCUCUCGAUCUUUCGAGGCCUCUCUCAUCUCUCGAUUCUGCGAGAGGUACAGCUGUUUAGGGUGGCUCCGGCAAGCAACGGCGCACCGGAGCAUCGCCGACGACCACCCACCAUGAGAGGCGAACAGAGGGAGAGGAGACAGAAAAAGAGGAAAAGAUUCAAAAGAUCAGUUUAUGGGCAAUAUCAGAAUUUGACAGCUGGUUCACUCUUUUAUGUGAUAUUGAAGUUCAGACUUGUGUGUGGAUCCAACAGUUAAGUGCCUCUGUAUCCAUUGUAAGAAUUUUUUUGCUUUCUUAUUAUUGCUUGCUAGCUAGUAAUCUGGUGAUGAAGCCCAUCGAUGUUGUUAAAUGGGAUGAGGCGAAGGGAAGCGUUGAGCUUGUCAAGUGAGGUGGAAUGAAGCGUAAGCUUGACACAAAUUCAUAAAGUAUGUAUAUUUAUCACAAUACCUUCUAUGUGCACAUACGGAUAUGAUUUCCAAGUCUUCAUAUCUUGGUAAGACAAGCCCACAUUUCUGGACGUAGAGAUCCCAUUUAUAUUUUUUAUUUAAUUCAAAUUUAAUGUUUUAAAGACCAACAAUGUUUUUUAAAUUUGGGAGCAAAAUAAUAAACUUUUUUUGGGCAUCGAUCGCAAGCACCGUUUCAGAUGGUUGUACGAGCCUUAUGCCUCGUUCUAGAGAGAGGCUAGAACAAGAGAAGACACAUGAGUAUGGCAGUAAAACAGAAAAACACAGACACUCACCUGAGCGUUAAUGUGUAACUUUUUCUUCAAAUUAUGACAUUUAACUUUGUUAAACUAGACGGAUGAAAAUACGUUCUUUUUCUUUUCCAUGACCAGUUCGUUUUUUUUAUCGUUAAAAUGACAAUAACUAAAAUAUAAAUUUUCACGUUUCUUGCUAACUAUGCCAUAAGAAUUGUGAUGUGGAAAGUAUUAGAAAGUUACUAGCUUUUUAUCGCAUGUAACAAAGGAUGAUUGAUUAAAAUUAAUACUAACGAAAAAUGCAACUUUACUUUUACAGGUGAAUUAUUUGAAACCAUGUUUAAAUGCCUAGCUAAUUGGUGUGUUCAACAAUGCGCUGAUCUAUUUGCAUCAACUGCCCUAAUAAAAAAUGAAAAAGAAAUCAGCCUGCCUUCUUUUUUACUGCCACUUUUGCCAAGGAUUUGCCUCGAAAAAGAAAUGCCCAAAUUUUAAACCGGCAAUAAAAACACAUGCAGUCCAAACGCUUGUUAUAUAUCACCUUUUCCUGUAGUCCUCCUUUGUUUUAAUCUUUAUUUCUUAUUACCACUGAAGUAUUUUAGUGAGGGACAAGUGCAGUUGUCCAAAGUCAACAGAAAUUUGCUGGACUCUUUCAGAAAUUUUUAUAUCCCAAGAGGCACUUAUAUAUAUGAAUAAAAACAAAAUUUUGGCAUGUAAGAAAAAAAAAAAGAAAUAUUGAGAGACUCGUGCCACCAACCCAAAGGACCCCAAAGGACCCAAGGCAGCAAACUUACUGGAUGAUGUAUAUGUAUUGUAUUAAAUAAAAUAUUGUGCCAGUUAAAAAAAAAAAGGUUAACCACAAUUUUCUUUUUUUAACUGCAAUUAAGGGAGGGAUGGUCGCUUCGUCUCCCAUUUAGGAAGUCACGGAUACGUGGCGAAACGCUUUCCCACGUGGCCAGGGCUUUCCAUUUCGUGACUUUCUUUGUUCGAAGUGGUUUCCAAAUGUUAACACAGACGCCCUUUCUGUCGUUCUACUGUGCCAUCAACCUCCGUUUCGCCGUUCUCCGGUUCGCCGUUCUCCGGUCCUCCAGAAGCGACCGUCCAGCAAGGUUUCGCUUCAAGGAUUCGCAGCUUGCAGGCCUUGGUUUUAGCUUUUUUCUUACCUCGUUGGUACUGUUCCUCAAAAUUUUUCUGCGCUCCCUCGUCUCACAUUGAACU